CCAAAAAUCAAUAGAAUCCCCCCAGUGAAAAUUCCUCCUGCCAUAACUUCUGGGAUGCCAAAUUCUUCUUUGUUUGAUAUAGCAACAGCAGCAAUUGAUUUCAUGGGCUGUACUGGCAUUGGCACGCCAUAAAUUGCACCAGUGACAAUAUUAUACAUGCCAGUGAAUAUUAGCGUUGUGCCCAGGUUAAGGUCACUGGCUAGGGUCAAGGCCAUGACUAUUGGGAUGUAAGUGCCUAAGUCUCCCAUGGCACCAUUGAUUUCUGCCCAUUUUGAUUGAAAGACCAAAUUUUCUCUCACUUUGUGAACAAUAUUGGUCGGAAAUUUGGAAGUGGGCGUUUCAGGAAGGUUUUGGAGGGUACCAACAACAGGUAAUUGCUGGCUAUGGGGCUCCAUUGCUUGUCGUUGAAGCGAAUGUUCCUCUGUAAUAUAAAAGUUUGGAUUUGCAACUUUGCAAGCUUAGCCAAGUGUAAUGAAGUAACAGUAACCUUUCAAUUGAUGAGAGGCCGUAAGAGAGCGGAAGACGCACG
rnacentral:misc_RNA from 1 species